rnacentral:ncRNA from 1 species
UAAAGGUUUGGUCCUGGCCUUCUUAUUAAUUAAUAGUAAAUUUACACAUGCAAGCAUCUACGUCCCUGUGAGAAUGCCCUCUAUGUCAUUAAUGACCAAAAGGAGCAGGUAUCAAGCACACACUUAAUGUAGCUCAAAACACCUUGCUUACGCCACACCCCCACGGGAAACAGCAGUGAUCGAAAUUAAUUUAUAAACGAAAGUUUGACUGAGUUAUACUAUAAAUAGGGUUGGUAAAUUUCGUGCCAGCCACCGCGGUCAUACGAUUAACCCAAAUUAAUAAGCUUCGGCGUAAAGAGUGUUUAAGAAUAAUUAAGCAAAAUAAGGUUAAACUAUAACUAAGCUGUAAAAAGCCAUAGAUAAAGAAAAAAUAAUAUACGAAGGUAACCUUACUAUAUUCACAUAUUCUGAAUACACGACAGCUAAGACCCAAACUGGGAUUAGAUACCCCACUAUGCUUAGCCUUAAACGUAAGUUUUUUAUCAACACAACAAUUCGCCAGAGAACUAUAGGCAACAGCCAAAAACUCAAAGGACUUGGCGGUGCUUUAUAUCCCUCUAGAGGAGCCUGUUCUAUAAUCGAUAAUCCCCGAUAAACCUCACCACUUCUUGCCACCUCAGCUUAUAUACCGCCAUCUUCAGCAAACCUCAAUAGAGAAUUAAAGUAAGCUCGAGCAUUAGACAUAAAAACGUUAGGUCAAGGUGUAGCUUAUGAAGUGGAAAGAAAUGGGCUACAUUUACUUUUUCAAGUACAUUCACGCAAACUUCUAUGAAACCUAGAAGUGUAAGGAGGAUUUAGUAGUAAGCUAUGAAUAGAGAGCUUGGCUGAAUAGGGCCAUGAAGCACGCACACACCGCCCGUCACCCUCCUCAAACAUUAUAAGCACACAAAUACUUAAUUUACUAAUCAAAACUGUGAGAGGAGAUAAGUCGUAACAUGGUAAGCAUACUGGAAAGUGUGCUUGGAAUAAU